GACGAACGCUGGCGGCGUGCUUAACACAUGCAAGUCGAACGGAAAGGCCCUGCUUUUGUGGGGUGCUCGAGUGGCGAACGGGUGAGUAACACGUGAGUAACCUGCCCUUGACUUUGGGAUAACUUCAGGAAACUGGGGCUAAUACCGGAUAGGAGCUCCUGCUGCAUGGUGGGGGGUGGAAAGUUUCGGCGGUUGGGGAUGGACUCGCGGCUUAUCAGCUUGUUGGUGGGGUAGUGGCUUACCAAGGCUUUGACGGGUAGCCGGCCUGAGAGGGUGACCGGCCACAUUGGGACUGAGAUACGGCCCAGACCCCUACGGGAGGCAGCAGUGGGGAAUAUUGCACAAUGGGCGGAAGCCUGAUGCAGCAACGCCGCGUGCGGGAUGACGGCCUUCGGGUUGUAAACCGCUUUCGCCUGUGACGAAGCGUGAGUGACGGUAAUGGGUAAAGAAGCACCGGCUAACUACGUG
rnacentral:rRNA from 1 species